CGCCCGAAGCGCACCGCCCCGCAGCUGGGACCUGCGGCGGGCGGAGGAGAAGCCGGAGCAGCGCGUGCCACUCGCCGGGAAAAUGCUGCCCCCGCCCCUCCCGGCCUUUGGUUCUGGAAUCCCUCAUCUCCUGGCAACGGGGCCGCGGAACCCCGCAAACACCAAGGGUUUUAUAGGAACGGGCAGCGGCGUCGCCGCCGGGUCCCCUCUCUCCUACCUCGGCCUUCCUCCCCGCUCCACCUUCCCGUCCCCGCGGCCUGUCACCGGGCCCGAACCCCCCCGCCUCCCUCCUGCCCGGUAGCCCAAGACUCAGCCCGUCUGCCAGGUCGGGGCGGCCUUGUUUGGGACGGGCUGUGGGUGGGAAGGAAAGAGGCCCCGGCGACCGGACCGGCGGGAGGGGGUUACCGUGGAACUUCCCACCCAGGGGGGGGGGGAUUUAAGGCGACGGUUUUUAUUUUAUUUGUUUACUUCCCCCUUCCUCCCUAGAGAACUACGGAGGCAGGACGGUUUUUUAUCUAAAGGCCUGCGUUAAGCCUGGGCCUGGGGGAUGAAUGGAGCGGGAAGGGUGUGGAGGAAGUGGGCCGGUUUCUCAGCGCAGAUUCCCACUGUCCCCAGGGGGAUGGAAGCCAGUCCCACCAGGAGUAAGGAGAGGAAGGGGAACGGGCUGUCCCAGGCUGCAGCGUCCUUGAAUGGAGGUUCGGGCCCAGCCCUUCAACUCCUUAGACGCAGGGCCCCCAGUCUGCAGGAACUCCCAGGCUGAGCCCUCUGACUUUCCCUUCGCCAGAAGCCUUCACUAUCCCGUUCUGAGGAGUUCCUGGCCCAGAUCAGCACAGAACUCACCGAUGAGGCCUUGUUUGUUGCUGGCUACCGCGUGAACUCUGUGCCCAGCAAGGAAAAACAGACGCAAGACCAAGAGACGCAGAUAUACAAACACGAGUUCUUCACCAAGACCCAAGGCACCGACACUUGCUCUGACAGGAACCAUGCCUGCACCAAGGCACACCUUCUGCCCUCCCGUCCUGACAAGGGAGCCCUGCCUAGCAGUUUGACCUCUGAAGGAUGAUCCCAACCCCUUUUGGUACUGCUCUCGGCCCCUCAUGCCCUCCCCCAUUCUGUGCCUCUACAACAUGCCUCAGAGCUCCUUUCACACUCAUUAAUCACUUCCAGUCAUCACCCCUGAAGCCUCCAGAAUGUCCUGGAACCAUCACACAUCCCUCCACCCUCAGCUGGCAAGGACACCGCCAGAAAACCAAGGCAUAAAUAAAGAGACAGAUCCUUCCCUCCUCCCAA